rnacentral:rRNA from 1 species
AGAGUUUGAUCCUGGCUCAGAACGAACGCUGGCGGCAUGCCUAACACAUGCAAGUCGAACGCGUGUAGCAAUACACGAGUGGCGCACGGGUGAGUAACGCGUGGGAACCUGCCCUGGAGUGCGGGAUAACCCGGCGAAAGCCGGGCUAAUACCGCAUACGCCCUGAGGGGGAAAGAUUUAUCGCUCUAGGAGGGGCCCGCGUCGGAUUAGCUAGUUGGUGAGGUAACGGCUCACCAAGGCGAUGAUCCGUAGCUGGUCUGAGAGGAUGAUCAGCCACACUGGGACUGAGACACGGCCCAGACUCCUACGGGAGGCAGCAGUGGGGAAUAUUGGACAAUGGGGGCAACCCUGAUCCAGCAAUGCCGCGUGAGUGAUGAAGGCCUUAGGGUUGUAAAGCUCUUUCGCCCACGACGAUGAUGACGGUAGUGGGAGAAGAAGCCCCGGCUAACUUCGUGCCAGCAGCCGCGGUAAUACGAAGGGGGCGAGCGUUGUUCGGAAUUACUGGGCGUAAAGGGCGCGCAGGCGGCCCUUGAAGUCAGGCGUGAAAGCCCCGGGCUCAACCUGGGAAUUGCGCUUGAUACUCGAGGGCUUGAGUGCGGGAGAGGAGAGUGGAAUUCCCAGUGUAGAGGUGAAAUUCGUAGAUAUUGGGAAGAACACCGGUGGCGAAGGCGGCUCUCUGGACCGUAACUGACGCUGAGGCGCGAAAGCGUGGGGAGCAAACAGGAUUAGAUACCCCCGUAGUCC